rnacentral:lncRNA from 1 species
CACAGUACCUAUAAUUAGGACAAACUUUCCUCAUUCUUCCCUUUAAAGGUCUUACCACAAGAAAAUGAUACCCAGUAUUCUUAAACAGAACUAUAAUAAUGUUGGGAACUUUCAUUUGCAACUUACUACAGGACACAAAUUUCUUCAGUUUCAUGGGCAAGUAGUGAAAUCUUUUUUCUUGAGCUAAGACUGAUAAAUCUCUGACCUAAUGCCCACAAAAUGUGGACAUAUUCAAUAAUAUAAACACAAGCGACACUGAAGUUGAAUUUUUCUAGUAGUAUUGAGAGGGACACGUGCUACUCAGGUUUCCUUCUUACAAACUGUGAAUUUGGAAAAGUCACCUAAGUUCUCAGUUUUCUCAGGCCAAAGGAAAAAAAAAAGCUACACAUGUUUCUAUAUACUUCCCACAAAGGAAAGGAUUAUUAUAAGUACUUAUAAGUGUAAAUUGGGGUCAUGAAUAUGUUUCAAGGGCUAAUCCAGUAUUAAUCGAAGAUACUUAAACUUGUGUCCCCAUCUUCAAAGAGGACAGUGGGAUGGGACACUAAGUGUAUAUGCCAUGGAGUCCUGAAAUGAUGGGUGCACAGCCUAAGCAUUUUGCCCAUUGGAAGGCUUUAUAGCUAUUUCAUAUUGAGUGUUCAGGGUUGUCAGAUGCAGAGGCACAAGAAGAGUGUAGAGCUGGUCAACAACCAAGAGUAACUUCUAAUCACUGAGUGGCAUAAAGGUUCAGAUUAUUUUAGUCUACACAUUUUGGGGUGAAGUGAAAGUUAUUAUUUUGAAAUGGAUGUACAGAUUACAUGCAUUAAAUGGAAAGAUAUGGAGCAAUGAGAAACAUCUGCAAGUAUUGACUUCCCUAGGUGAGUAAAAGUUGUUCCUAAACCAUUGCUACACUUAGUCUGUAAAAUGUGUAUAUCUCAUAGUAAACAUGAUCCUCUUUUCCCAGUUUGGAGUUGGAGAAAACAUAACUUGUUGUUUAGUUGUCUCUAGCCAAUUAAUAUUUUCUUAACCUCUUUAUAUGUCAUACUGUUAAACAGGUAUGGGAAUAUGAUGAAUAAUGAAGCAUUUUACCAUUUACAAAGGACUUUCUCAUUGGCUAACUUGAUGAUGACAGCAACCCUAUGAGGUUGGAUAUCCUUCCAUUAUUUGUGGAGUUCUCCUUGUGUGUGUCCUACCACCUGCUUUCUGCCUGGCCUCUUUUGCAGCUAAAUCUUAAUCAUGUGAUCAAGAUAUCAACAAUCAUAGGCAUGCAUGCAGUUGGACUUCAGUUUGGAGCAAUAAAUGAAAGAGAGAGUUUUUGAUACAGAGUAACAGUUUCAGUGGAGUUUCUGGGAGGAGUGCAAUACAUGGGACCAAGUAUUGAGUGUGACCAACAGUCUCCUCACUAAGCUUGUUGUGGGGUGGAGCUUUGGAAUUUGAUCGUUGCAUCUUAAUCUGGGCAAUUUAGCCUGCUUUUCCAAUGUUUCUACAGCUCCUCAGUAUUAUUUUAAUAUGUUAAUUGUAUUAAAGAAGAAAGGUGGUAGCUGUGUCAGAAAUCAAUUUAAAAUUUAUGCAGCACUCCCCAGCAGCCAAGAUAAAAAGGGAAAGGGAAUUGGUUACAUAACAACUAGGUCUCCCAGAUUCAUUCUGUAGAGUAUUAAUCAUAAUCAGUUCUAACAGGUUGUCCAUCACAUACUCCAUGCUGUAUCACAAAAAAGGCAAAUUUGAGUUGUCAGUCUUGGCUUUAGUGUUCUUUUUAGGAUGACAAUGACAAGUCCAUGCAUUUUCACUCUCAGAAAAAAACAAAAGACAGAAACGGGAACUUAGAUUCCCCAAGUGAUUAUAAUUUGACAUGAAACAGGCGCCUCUUCUGUCCUUACUACCUGGAUAUUCUUAGGAAAAUCACACCCAGUUUCUCAAAAUAAUUGUUUUCCUCUAUUCAAAAGUAGUGGCUAAUAAUAAAAAUUCAAUGGAUUAUUAUCAAACCUAUUCAUGGCAAUGUACCAGAUAGCACUUUAUGAUCUGUAAAAUGGUAUGUAGAUUUCAGUUGCCAUUAUUGUUAUUGUUAUGUUUAUUAAGUUGCACGGAGGGGGAAGAUCAGAAAGAGGAUUGAAGCAAAUGUACAACUGACACAAAUACUAGCGGUCAUCUCAUUCAACUAGGGCCCUGAGAACACUUGAAAAAGCUCAGAUUCCACCAAACCUCAGUACGGAAUCAUCUCACUUAACCUAUCAGCUACACUCUUCUGUGAGAAGACUCCAGGCCUUACUUACACAGAUCAGUUUUUUGAGGACGAAUCUGGAGCUCCAGUCAGCAUCGGCAAAGUGCAGAAGAUGAAGGAGCGAGAUGAUAAUCAGAACAAAGAACAACCUCAUCAAGCCUGCCUGCCUCUGUACACCUGGUAUCUGUCUCACGCUGUCUCUGCGUCUUACUUUCCAUCAUGUGGUUUUUGCAUUGGAACGAGCUGAUAUAAGUUAAUUUGCCAUUUUUUAAAGAAGCAGCAGGCCAUUUCUUAAUUUGAUGUUCCGUAUCCUAAAGUUCUGGGAGGAAGUGGAUUUUGAAAGUGUACAGUCUUACUUCACAGAAUGGGUGUACCUACGUAAGCUUCAUCAACCUUUACUGAAAACAAAUGUACAGGGGUAUAUUCUGUGAGUAACUAUUUUAAUACUAAUAAGUACUAACUGUCAGGUACUAUGCUUGGUUCUUUAUGUCCA